rnacentral:lncRNA from 1 species
UUCAACACAGGGUUCCAAUUUUUCAUAGGCAUUGGUGUAGUAUCGGCUAAUGUUAUAAAUUAUGCUACAGCUAAGCAUAGUUGGGGCUGGCGUCUCUCCCUUGGCCUUGCCAUAGUACCUGCAGCUAUAAUGACAAUCGGAGCACUGCUUAUUUCAGACACUCCUAGUAGCCUGGUAGAACGUGGAAAGCUUGAGCAAGCUCGAAAAUCUCUAAUCAAAGUUCGAGGAAUCGAUACUAAUGUGGAUGCUGAGCUUGCUGAGCUUAUCAAGUCUAGUGAAGUAGCCAAAGCUGCUCAAGAAGAACCUUUUGUGACUAUUUUUGAAAAGCAGUACAGGCCUCAUUUAGUAAUGUCAAUUGCUAUACCAUUUUUUCAACAAGUAACUGGGAUUAACAUAAUUGCAUUUUACGCCCCUGUUCUUUUUCAAUCAGUUGGCUUUGGAAGCAAUUCAUCUUUAAUAGCUGCUAUAAUACUUGGAUUAGUUAAUCUUGCUUCAAUUUUGGUGUCUACGGGUGUGGUUGAUCGUUAUGGUCGAAGAUUUUUGUUCAUAUUUGGAGGGACUCAAAUGUUCAUUUGUCAGGUAUGCUUUUAAUUGAUCAUUGGAACUGAUGUUAAUUAUCUAAUCAUCGAGUUUUUAUGCAGUAAUACUAUAUUAAAGCAUCUUCAAGAUUAUGAGAUUUAAUGUUUAAAUCCCAAUUUGAAUUAUAUUUAACUCAGCGACAUUUCAUGUAUAGGUAGCAGUAGCUUGUGUGCUAGCAGCGACAACAGGCGUUUCAGGCACGAAGCACAUCUCCAAAGGCUACGCCAUAGUAGUACUGGUUUUAAUGUGUAUAUAUGCUGCUGGUUUUGGUUGGUCAUGGGGUCCUCUAAGCUGGCUAAUCCCAAGUGAAAUAUUUCCUAUGAAAAUUAGACCUGCAGGUCAAAGUUUAAGUGUGGCUGUAAAUUUCGCAACCACAUUUGUUCUAUCACAGACGUUCCUGACCAUGCUAUGUCACUUCAAAUAUGGGACGUUCUUAUUCUAUGCUGGUUGGAUAGCCCUGAUGACAUUUUUUGUUGUAUUUUUCUUGCCAGAGACGCGAGGAAUUCCUCUGGAUUCAAUGUAUCAAGUGUGGGAGAAGCACUGGUACUGGCGUCGGUUUGUUCAAGGGAAAUUGUAGGCAAAAGUUUGCUUUACAAUUAUGGUUUUAAUCUGGUUACAGCCUUUAUGGGAAUAACAUUUUGUUAAGACAGUGUUAGAGAGCUUAAUUAUAUUUUAUACAGUAUAAAUGACACAAAAAAUUCAACAUUCUAUAUGUAUAAUUGUCUUAUUUUAUUUCUAUUUUUGGUCCCUCCAAACGUUAAAAUCUACAUCCAUCUAAGAAUGGAAGGUGUGCAUAAUUUAAGCUACGAACCCCACAAACAUCAUAAUUUGGGGCAAUUAUUAUUUAAUCCUCCCACAAGAUAGCAACCAAAGUUGGUUCAGUUCCCGUUCCAUCUUAUGCGACGAAUCAUAAGCCAAACCUUAUAUCAAUAUAUGAACCCUAGUUCUUUGUAAUAAUUUCAUAACUUCGCUGUGUCGUAAUAGCCGGUGGAUGUUUUGCUGUUAACGCCCCUGCUAAUGGCUUCAAUGACAAAAUAACAAUAUCAACAGUAACAUUUAAAAAAAAAAAAAAAAAAAAAACAUUUUUUCAUUUGAUUGGUGCAUGGGUGGUCCGCUAAACCAGGUCUAAGCAAAAAAUUUCUAAAUAAUAACAUCCCUGAUACUCCUUUUGAGUAUAAGUGUUUUCACUAAUUUGAUAAAUUUAAUAGAGGGUUAUUCAUGUUGCUCUUGUUUUCACUAAUUUGGAAUAUAUGGUUACAUUAUUUCUAUUACAAGUACAGUGUAAUUAAUUUCUUCUAUCUUUUUUGAAUUGCCCAACUUUUCAUAAGAAAAAAAUAAAGAUGAAAAUGGAUAAACAAUGGUAAUAGUUUACUUAUAUACUUAGUCUUAUGCCGCAUGUGCGGGGUUAAUAUUUAUAAAUAAUUGAUAUAAAUUAAAUUUGAUUGAAAAAUAUAAAUAAAUUAAUAUGACGGAAAAAAAUAAUAAUUUUCAUUCACUCUUUUUUUUUUAUUUUUUUGUGACUAUAAUAAUAAAAACUACUAAUCCAAUUUUUUCUAUAAAUUUGAAAAUGAUAAAGAAAUUCUACACUAAUAAAUUAAAAACAAUAAACUCACUUUCUUACCUAAACUAAAAAUAAUAAACAUAAAAAUUGCAUUUGCAAAUUAAAAUAAUUACUCAAACCAUAAAAUUACCUGAAUGUAAAAGAAAAGAAACUUUAGGAAUCGUUAAUCAUAUAUGUCUUUUCUCGAGAUAUAAAUUUUUAUUACUAUCUAAAAAUAUGUUAAACAUAAAAAAGAAAAUAAGAAUUUGUAAGAUAAAUAUAAGAGAUGUAGUACUUCUAUACAUAGUACUCAAAAGGGAAUUAAAAAAUAGGAUAAUUAAAUUAUAAAAUAGUAAAAUAUUACAUCAAUUUAUAGUUUGGUUAUUAAUUAUUGGAAAAACUAAUUAGUAUUCUAUUAUUAGUACACAAAAUCUAUUAUUUAUAUUAUUAAUCAUUGCAACAGAAAAAAAAAGCUUUUAUUAUUGAAAUAAAUUUAUUAUAUGGUUAUUAAUUAUUGAAUAAAGAAAAUAAAAAGUUUAUAAUUUGAUUUCUUCAAAUUAGAUAAUUAAAUAAAAAUUUUAAAAAUAAUAAAUUUCACAUCAUUAAUUAGGUUUCAUAAUAUCAUGCUAUGUAAGCAAAUUUAAUUGAGUUUUUAUAUAUUUAUAUAGAUAAAUAUAUGCUAAAAGCUAAUAUAGCAGUACUUCUAUUUGGAAAAAAAAAAAAAACAAACAAACAAACACAAAAAUAACGUUGAGAGUAAUAUUAUUUGGGGGUGUAUGACCAAAAUAAUGUGUUUGUAAAACUAUUUAUAGAAAUAAUAUGAUUUUAAUCAUUAUAAUUUUUUAUUGAGGAAUUUCAAAAAAUUUCAAGAAACAUGAAAAUGUAUAUGGUACGUGAGAUUCAGUAUGACUAAAAAACGAUUCAUUAUAACAGAAUCCGAUUUUCUUUAUUCCCUAAUUUCUCUAUUUUAAUCAAACAUGCUCUCUCUCACUCUGAGACGGCGAAACCCACCAAUGCUACUGUUUUACCUCCCCUCCAAUGCUAAAACGCUUCAUCAAGAAGGCUUGGGAGUCCCAAUCCUCUUUAGGUAAACCUAUCUCUCUUUCUCUUCCUUCUUAGAUAUUAAAAUUUCAAAUUUGUCUUCUCUCUUCAAAAACAUUUUCUCUUUCUUUCUUUCUCCCUGUUGACGACCUCUCUCUCCGAUCUAUUUUGUGCAGUACCUUUUAGAGAGAGCAAAGGGUACACAUCUCAUGUACAUCUCUUUUAUUUGCUUAAUUUUAUAUUAUGUGCAUGAGAACUCUGAGUUAUGAAUCUCUUGAUUUGCUUUUGUCUUACUAAAUUAAGAUCAUUGCAUGUGCUCAUCUAUUGAUUUUGACCCAUCUGAUGAAUUGAAAGAAUUGAAACUGAAAAGCAAGUCAAAACUCUGAUGGUGGUGAUGAUUUGGUAAGUGGUUGAUUUGUCAAGAGAUAAAGCCUCGCAAAAGUGCUUAUUUUGCCAAAAAAUAUAUAUAUAUAUGUUUAAAAAGCCUUCUUUUCCAUUGUCUUUUUGGAUACUGUAGAAAAGAUGAGAAUCCUUUAUGAUUUUGACCAUCGUGAAGCUUUUUCAGCUUCUUUCUCAAAUGGGUAUCCAAUAAUUUUUUUAUAUUAUUAUCUUUUUCUUUAUGGAAAAUAAGAUGAUAUGGCUUGGCUGCUUCCAUAAAUAAAAUAAAAUUGCCAAACAUGCAAUCGUGAACUGCCAUAUGUUGAGUAAGGGAACGUGCUUCUAAUAAGUCUUUUAUAUUGUGCCUAAUCCCAGAGUUAGUUCGAUUGAUUAAAAUUUUAAUCUAUCAAUUUUAUUUUAUUUAUGGAAGCAGUACGCAAAUUAAUUAAGGAAUGGAUCUUUUUUUUUUUUUUAUUGAAUUCAAUUUUCUAUGUCCACUCAGCUUGACAAAUCAUCAAUUGCCACAUAAGUUGAAGACACUUAAUUAAAAGCUUUUAGGAGAUUAAACACCUGCUAAUAUUUUCGCUGAGACACCAAAAUGAAAAAUUUUGAUAAGUUUAGACACUAAACUUAUUUGUUUCUACUUUCUAGGAAUUUCUUGUAUAUAUAUUCUUGUCAAAAAAAAAACUGUAAUUAUAUCAAAAAAUUUUUUUUUGGUAAAUAAUAUCAAGAAUUGUAGAACAAAAUUUUUCAAUUAAUAAUCAAAUGAUAGAGCCUCAAUUUAGUGCAGAAUCUCAAUAAUUCAGAUUUGUACAACCUUCUCUUUUUAAAAUUGUGAUGUUUUAAAAAACAAUUGCAUGCAAAACUUAAUAACCUAAGAAAAAUACAAAUUUAAUCAAAAGAUGACGCUUAUCGGCCCCCACCAGUUCUGCUUAUUUGUAUUUUGACCUCUCCAAUGUUUAAAUUUUAACUCCAUAUUUCUUUUUUAUUUUUUUUUUCAUUUAUCGGAAAGUUUAAUGGGUCGAUUAAUGCCUGGAAAUAAAUAUUGUGAGCUGUAGAAAACCGCUGCCUCCUUAUCUCACCAAUUAACUAAUUAAAUAAGAAUAUUUAUAGUGAAGAAGACUCAAACAGAGGUAAUUUUCUUAUCACUUCAAUAAUGAUAAAAAGAAUGAGAUGAAGGGAUAACAAGACCAAGGGAGUAUUAUCGUGGUAUAAAUGUUGUAACAAAUUAAAAAUAAUGCAUGAAAAAAAAAAACAAUAAUGCAUGAGCUUUUCAUAUCUCUGUGACUGUUUUACCAAUAAAACAAGUGCAUAUACAAGAGAAAGCACCGAGUAAUUCCUCCGUCCACCCUUUUCAGGAAACUUGGCUAUAAAAUGCAUUUUUCAACCUCGUUAGCUAUAGCUAGGUGCAUCUUUUUUUGUUGCUCUGUUUUAACUUCAACAAAAGCUGGACCCUGUUCGGAUUGAAGGAAAUGGCUGUCGGAGGUUUUGCUGUUGACGGGCCUGCCAAUGGCUUUAACGGCAAGAUAACAGUAUCAGUUGUGAUUACUUGCAUUGUAGCUGCAUCUAGCGGCCUCAUCUUUGGCUAUGACAUUGGAAUUUCAGGUAUUUUUGUUUUUGUUCAUUAACAUCUUCAAAUUAAUCCGCUACUGUUUUGUUUUUUUUUUCCCCCUUUAAAGGGAAUAUAUCAACAGUUAAUUGGUUUGAUCUUGUGUAUUCACUUCCGUAGCUGUCAGAUUUUGAAAGUUUGAACCUAGGAAAUGGCGAAAAUAACUAAAAAGGUAUAGUCUUUGAAAUUUUUGCAUUACAGGAGGUGUAACAACAAUGAAGCCAUUUCUCAAGAAAUUCUUCCCAUCAGUAUUGAGGAAGGCAUCGGAGGCCAAAACAAACAUGUACUGCGUAUAUGAUAGCCAGGUGUUGACAGCAUUCACAUCAUCUUUAUAUAUAGCUGGGUUAAUUUCUUCCCUUGUAGCUAGCCGUCUCGCUGCCACAAUAGGCCGCAAGAAUACCAUGGUGCUAGGUGGCUGCACUUUCCUUGCCGGCGCUGCCAUGAAUGGUGGAGCUGCCAACAUUGCCAUGCUCAUCCUAGGACGCGUCUUGCUUGGUUUUGGAGUUGGCUUCACGAACCAGGUUAAUUAAUGCUAUAAAUUUCAUACUUUGGUAUAAUAUGAGAACAUUUAAUUACUAACAACGUGAAACGGGUUAAAAUGAAGGCAAGUCCUAUUUACCUAUCAGAGGUGGCACCACCAAAAUGGCGAGGCGCAUUCAACACAGGAUUCCAAUUUUUCAUCGGCAUUGGUGUAGCAUCGGCUAAUGUUAUAAAUUAUGCUACAUCUAAGCAUAGUUGGGGCUGGCGUCUCUCCCUUGGCCUUGCCGUAGUACCUGCAGCUCUAAUGACAAUCGGUGCACACCUUAUUUCAGACACUCCUAGUAGCCUGGUAGAACGUGGAAAACUUGAGCAAGC